rnacentral:rRNA from 1 species
UAAUGUCUAUCUGCCCACUGAUAAUUUAUUAAAGGGCUGCAGUAUUUUGACUGUACAAAGGUAGCAUAAUCAUUAGUCUCUUAAUUGGUGACUUGUAUGAAAGAUUGGAUGAGAUAUAUACUGUCUCUUAUUUAUAUGAAGAAUUUAAUUUUUUAGUUAAAAAGCUAAAAUAAUUUUAAAAGACGAGAAGACCCUAUAGAGUUUUAUAUUUAAAUUUAUUAAGAUUAUAUUUUAGUUUAAUAAUUAAAAUUAAUUUAAAAUAUUUUAUUGGGGUGAUAGAAAAAUAAGUUUAACUUUUUUUAAUUAAAUUCAUAAAUAAAUGAAUAAUUGAUCCAAAAUUUUUUGAUUAUAAGAAAAAAUUACCUUAGGGAUAACAGCGUAAUUUUUUUUUUUAGUUCAAAUAAGAAAAAGAGUUUGCGACCUCGAUGUUGGAUUAAGAUAAAAUUUAUAUGCAAAAGUAUAAAAUUUGAUCGUCGAUCAUACUC